UGAACUUAAAAAAAAAAAAAAAAUACUUUUUAGGUCACAGUAUUUAAAAUCUUCAAUGGAAAAAAAUGAAAACUUAAGACAUGUUGAAAUGUUAGUCCACUAUAAAAAAAUUUGCUUUCUUACAGUAUAUUAUAGAUUAUUAACCAAUUUUGAAAGCUAUUAAUCUUUAUAAUACACAUAAUCUAAUAUCUGAUCUAAUAAUUUUUUCUCAAUAUGCAGUAAGCAUAUUUAGAAUACAGUAGAAUAACCACAGCUGAGGACUGCUUUCCCUCAUCACUCAUAUGGUUUUCUUGUAUAAAGAAUAUGGCUGUAAGGCCUUAAGUUACAUCUUAAGAACAGCACCAAACCAGCAAACUUUAUAGGCAACUCUGUAACUGGAAUACCUGCAAGAUAAAUUUAGCAUUAUAUUUAAAUAGCCAAAUGAGAUUCUCCCAGAAAUGCAAGAAUGUGCCUUUAUCUGGUUUAAUUUAAAACAUGGAGUAAAGAAAAAAAGACAUCUUCUCAACUGAUGCUUAAGAAGCAUUUCUGAUAAAAACCUUGAUUAAAAAAAAAUCUUCAUUAACCUAUAAAUAAAUGUCCCUUAAUCUUAAAAGUGUAUCCACUGGAAACUUACCAAGAACAAUGGAGUCACAAUAUAAAACAAUAAAAGGAACAGCUCAAGAAUUACUACUAUCACUACUAUUAGUCAACACUGCAUAGAGGUCUAGUUAGUGUAAUAACUAUACAACAUUACUGAAAUACAUAAAAGACCAAAAAAAAAAAAAAAUGGAGACUAAAUUUUUAUAUGGGAACACUCCUUACUCAUAAGGAGUGUUUAUAUAUAUUUAUAAAAAUCAUUCUCAAAUUAAUCAAAAGUUCAGUAAAUCCCAAAUAAGAUUUCUUAAAUGAGAUCUGGGAACCUAAAUCCAAAGUUCAAUUUAAGAGUAAGUAAUUGUAUUAACGAAUUUCCAAAAAGAAGGGUAAUGAGAGCAUUUUGCUCUGCUAGAUACAAAAGCAUACUUUAGAAAACCAUAGUAAUUUUAAUAGUAAUGUCCCAGGAAUAGGAAAAGAAAUCAAAGAAAUAGAAACGCAAAGUCUGGAAAGAGAUUCACAUUAAUAUAUACAAAUUAGUUUAUGAUAAAACUGACCUUUCAAAUCAGUAGAAAAAAAAGAUAUACUUAAAAAUUUUGAAGCUUUUUCAUGAAAAAACACAUCCAGUUCAAAGAAAAGAGUUUGAAAUAAACCACUUCUAAUGUAACAAAUUUAAAAUCAGUGUAUAAAGGAGUCUUUUACAUUAUAAAACUAUAUUUGUACUUUAUGAAAACUGGGCAAAAAAACAAUUCACUGAAAAAAAUAUUAACUGACAAGAGAUUAGUGAAAAAUAAAUAUGCUCAAGGUCUUAGGUGUACAGAAAUUAAAGGAGCACUUUUUUGACCAUCACAUAAGCAAAAAUUUACAUCAUUCUCAUACAUCUUUAAGUCUGUUUAGAAAGCAAAGUUUAAAGAAUCCUAAAUCCAGAAUUUAGUUUUCUUUUUUUAAAAAAGAUUUUUAUUUGAGAGAAAGCCCAUAAGGGGCAAGGGGCAGUUGGGCAGAGGAAGAAGCAGACUCCCCACUGAGCAGAGACCCAACACACGGCUGGAUGCCAGGACCCUGAGAUCAUGAGCUGAGCCAAAGGCAGCUGUUUAAGUGAUUGAGCUACCCAGAAUUCUAGUUUUCUUAAUCCUGAAGAAGUACCUGCAUAUAAUAUAAUUCUCAUUAUGGAACUGUUUUUAUUAGCAAAAUAUUAGACUGGAUAAAUUAUGAUGUAUCUAUAUAUGAUAUUAGAAAGAAUGGGUUUGUAGAGUCAUUAAAUUCACAGAAAGUAUAAGGGUGGUUGCUGAGGGCUGAGUUUCAAUUUGAGAUGAAAAAGUUCUAGGGACAGAUGAUGUUGAAAAAUCAUCAAUGGUGUGAAAUUAUGUAAUGCCUCUUAAGUGUACACUUUAGAUAAAAUGGUAAAUAUUCUGUAUGUUUUACUAUGUUUAUGUUCUUUUAUGCUAGUGUACUUACAUGGGUGGUUCCCAAUAUAUACUGUUAAGGGAGUAAAGUAUGCUGCAGAAUAAUAAAGGAAGAUCUUAUUUACCUUAAAAGACAUUUUUAAAGGAGAGACAUACACACAAAUGAAUCUAUGUAAACAUUGACAAAGAGACUUUGAAUAACAUGUAAAAUUACUGAUAGUUUCCUCUAGAGGAGAUUAAAGCUGACCUUCAUACUUUUUCUGCCUAAUUCUACUGCAGUCUUUCAUAAUAAUACAUUCAUGCAUUAUUUGUAUGAUCUUAAAAACCUCAUCAACCUAAUUUUAAAACAGAUGGCUUAAAAACUCACUUUUGUGAUGAUAACUUCUUGCUUCUGUCCAAGUCUAUGGCAUCUGUCAAAGCACUGAUCUUCAGCAGCUGGAUUCCAAGCCUAACAAGAAUAUGAAUUGCUUUAUUACCAACCUGAUCUGUGAGUGUUCUGCCCAAUUCCUUUCAUUUCAAUAUUACUCAUUCACCUUUUACUGACUCAGAUUUUUCUGACAGAAUUCAGAAACUGACCUAAAUGCUCCGGGGAAAAAAAAUAUACCCCAUCCCCAACUAUGACAGGCAGGUAUUCCCCAUCAUUUCACUGCAUGGCUUCUAGUAUCUAAUAUAGUGCCCGAUACAUAGAAAGCACACAGCAAUCACCCAAUGCUUAAGUAAUCAAAUAGUACCUUUUCCACUUUAAAACUGAUCUAUGUCUGCUUAACAAAGGAAAAAAAAAAAGGUUACACAUCCUUAAAUGACCUAAUUUAUGUCAGAAAAGAUGUAAUUUAUUCCAUUUAUGAAAAAGUGUUCUCCCCUUUUGCUGAUCUUUUGAUUCUUUUUCUUUCUCUUUCUUCCAUUUGUUAAAUAAAAGCACAAAAAAAGCUUUCAGGAGUAAUCAAAAGUACUAAAAAUUAAAGGCUUUGUUGAUGUAAUUUUCUGUAUCUAUAUUUGAAUCUGACUUUAAAAUUGAACUAAAAUAACAUUAACUCAUUAAAUACAA